rnacentral:rRNA from 1 species
UGGGGAAUAUUGCGCAAUGGGCGAAAGCCUGACGCAGCAACGCCGCGUGGGGGAUGAAGGUUCUCGGAUUGUAAACCCCUUUCGACCGGAACGAAUUCCCUCCUGGUAAAUAAUCAGGAGGAUCGACGGUACCGGGAGAAGAAGCCACGGCUAACUCUGUGCCAGCAGCCGCGGUAAGACAGAGGUGGCGAGCGUUGUUCGGAUUUAUUGGGCGUAAAGCGAACGCAGGUGGUUUGGUAAGUCAGAGGUGAAAGACCACAGCUUAACUGUGGCACUGCCUUUGAUACUGCCUUUCUAGAGUGCAUGAGGGGGAAGCGGAAUUCCGAGUGUAGAGGUGAAAUUCGUAGAUAUUCGGAGGAACACCGGUGGCGAAGGCGGCUUCCUGGCAUGUAACUGACACUCAUGUUCGAAAGCGUGGGUAGCAAACAGGAUUAGAUACCCUGGUAGUCCACGCCCUAAUCGAUGGGCACUAGGUGUGGGAGGUAUCGACCCCUUCCGUGCCGCAGCUAACGCAUUAAGUGCCCCGCCUGGGGAGUACGGCCGCAAGGUUG